UACGGAGGGUGCAAGCGUUAUCCGGAUUCACUGGGUUUAAAGGGUGCGUAGGAGGGCAGGGAAGUCAGUGGUGAAAUCUCCGGGCUUAACUCGGAAACUGCCGUUGAUACUCUCUGUCUUGAAUACCGUGGAGGUGAGCGGAAUAUGUCAUGUAGCGGUGAAAUGCUUGGAUAUGACAUAGAACACCAAUUGCGAAGGCAGCUCGCUACACGAAUAUUGACUCUGAGGCACGAAAGCGUGGGGAUCAAACAGG
rnacentral:rRNA from 1 species